rnacentral:lncRNA from 1 species
UGUCAAUAGACACAGAGGUUUCCCAUUUUUCACAUGAUGAAGAUCAGGGAUCCAAACUUCUUCAGAAAGCUAAAGAGGCACCAUUUGUCCCAUUGGAAUGGCAGGCUUUGCAGCCAUUGUUGCAUAGGGAUUACACAAAUUGAAGAGCAUGGGAAACACGACAAUGUCCCUUCAUCUGAUCCACAUGCAUGUGGCAGUUCAAGGCUUUGUUAUAGGAGCCAUGACUGUUGGUAUGGGCUAGUCCAGGUAUCAGGAAUUCUGGGCAAAUCCUAAGCCUUAG